AUUGAACGCUGGCGGCAUGCCUUACACAUGCAAGUCGAACGGCAGCACGGGAGCAAUCCUGGUGGCGAGUGGCGAACGGGUGAGUAAUAUAUCGGAACGUGCCCAGUCGUGGGGGAUAACGUAGCGAAAGCUACGCUAAUACCGCAUACGAUCUAUGGAUGAAAGCGGGGGAUCGCAAGACCUCGCGCGAUUGGAGCGGCCGAUAUCAGAUUAGGUAGUUGGUGAGGUAAAGGCUCACCAAGCCGACGAUCUGUAGCUGGUCUGAGAGGACGACCAGCCACACUGGGACUGAGACACGGCCCAGACUCCUACGGGAGGCAGCAGUGGGGAAGUUUUUGGACGAAUGGGCGGCAAG
rnacentral:rRNA from 1 species